rnacentral:lncRNA from 1 species
AAGAGAGUAGGAAUAAGUGUCGUUUCCCAUAGACGGCGCCAAAUGUUGAUGCACAAAAUCAGCGAAGACUUUGGUACAACAGAAAGUGUCAGGUUUUGUGACUUUCGCUUGGUUGCUUCCGUCACUAGUGAGGAUAAGUACGUAAAUGAAUAGAGACAGAGAAGCAAACACAGGAUGUACGUGGUUCACCCAGAUUAGCUACGUCCACGGAGUAGAGGAGUUCUUAUUAGUAGUGAAGGGCUUACACAAGUACAAAGGAUCAAGCUCUC